AUUGAACGCUGGCGGCAGGCUUAACACAUGCAAGUCGAACGAGUGGCGGACGGGUGAGUAAUGCUUGGGAAUCUAGCUUAUGGAGGGGGAUAACUACGGGAAACUGUAGCUAAUACCGCGUACCAUAGGAUGAGCCCAAGUGGGAUUAGGUAGUUGGUGGGGUAACGGCUCACCAAGCCGACGAUCCCUAGCUGGUCUGAGAGGAUGACCAGCCACACUGGGACGGAGACACGGGCCAGACUCCGACGGGGGGCAGCAGUGGGGAAUAUUGCGCAAUGGGGGCAACCUGACGCAGCCAUGCCGCGUGAAUGAAGAAGGCCUUCGGGUUGUAAAGUUCUUUCGGUAGCGAGGCGUUAACCGCAGAAGAAGCACCGGCUAACUCCGUGCCAGCAGCCGCGGUAAUUC
rnacentral:rRNA from 1 species